UAAAUUAUCAAUAUAUAGUUCACAUUUUCUGUGAGUCAUCAAAAACAUUUUCAUAAAUCACACUGGCUUUGUUGAUGAAAAUAUAUGAAAAGACGUCGAACCACUCGAAUCCGUGUCAAGUCUCUGUCACCGUUUUACACUACUCGCGAGUUCGUCUGUUCUCAAGGAUGACAUUUUUCGAUAUUCGCGACUGACGCGAUCGGUUGGUUUAUCGUUACUACAUCUGUUUUGUUACAUUCGCGGUCUAGAGCUGAUGAAGCACCAGACGGACACAGGUUCACGCAGCAUGACCUCUGCCGAAUGCUGCCUUUCGUUGUUUUCAUAGCUGUACAGGUAAAACAGCUCGACGUUUUCAAAAAAAUAUUAUUAACGAUGAAAAUGUAAAUUCCAUGGGAUAAAAUAAGAUAUCCUCCUCAUGCUGUGGAUAAAAAACUUGGUAUAGAAAUCAAUCUUCUAAUUAUCUUGUGUGUUAACCGACACCCACACCCCUAAAGUAGUAUAGUGUAUUAUUAUUUAAUCAAAGUGCUGAAAAAUUAUGUGUUGAAUACCCGUAGAUAUUAAAUUUUUA